GCCCGCUUGGCUAAGUGGUAUAGCGUGUCACUAGUACAUAUCGGUGCUACAAAUCUCAUCGAUCCUAGAUGCCAUGACAAGAUCAGCGGUUCGAUUCCGCUAGUGGGCA